UACGAAGGGGCUAGCGUUGCUCGGAAUUACUGGGCGUAAAGCGCACGUAGGCGGCUUUCUAAGUCGGGGGUGAAAUCCUGGAGCUCAACUCCAGAACUGCCUUCGAUACUGGAAAGCUCGAGUCCGGGAGAGGUGAGUGGAACUGCGAGUGUAGAGGUGAAAUUCGUAGAUAUUCGCAAGAGCACCAGUGGACGAAGGCGGCUCACUGGCCCGGUACUGACGCUGAGGUGACGAAAGCGUGGGGAGCAAACAGG
rnacentral:rRNA from 1 species